UGAGGAAUAUUGGUCAAUGGGCGAGAGCCUGAACCACCCAAGUAGCGUGAAGGAUGACUGCCCUAUGGGUUGUAAACUUCUUUUAUAAAGGAAUAAAGUCGGGUAUGGAUACCCGUUUGCAUGUACUUUAUGAAUAAGGAUCGGCUAACUCCGUGCCAGCAGCCGCGGUAAUACGGAGGAUCCGAGCGUUAUCCGGAUUUAUUGGGUUUAAAGGGAGCGUAGAUGGAUAUUUAAGUCAGUUGUGAAAGUUUGCGGCUCAACCGUAAAAUUGCAGUUGAUACUGGAUAUCUUGAGUGCAGUUGAGGCAGGCGGAAUUCGUGGUGUAGCGGUGAAAUGCUUAGAUAUCACGAAGAACUCCGAUUGCGAAGGCAGCCUGCUAAGCUGCAACUGACAUUGAGGCUCGAAAGUGUGGGUAUCAAACAGGAUUAGAUACCCUGGUAGUCCACACGGUAAACGAUGAAUACUCGCUGUUUGCGAUAUACUGCAAGCGGCCAAGCGAAAGCGUUAAGUAUUCCACCUGGGGAGUACGCCGGCAACGGUGAAACUCAAAGGAAUUGACGGGGGCCCGCACAAGCGGAGGAACAUGUGGUUUAAUUCGAUGAUACGCGAGGAACCUUACCCGGGCUUAAAUUGCAGAUGAAUUACGGUGAAAGCCGUAAGCCGCAAGGCAUCUGUGAAGGUGCUGCAUGGUUGUCGUCAGCUCGUGCCGUGAGGUGUCGGCUUAAGUGCCAUAACGAGCGCAACCCUCGUGUCCAGUUACUAGCAGGUUAUGCUGAGGACUCUGGACAGACUGCCAUCGUAAGAUGUGAGGAAGGUGGGGAUGACGUCAAAUCAGCACGGCCCUUACGUCCGGGGCUACACACGUGUUACAAUGGGGGGUACAGCAGGCAGCUACCGGGCGACCGGAUGCCAAUCCCGAAAGCCUCUCUCAGUUCGGACUGGAGUCUGCAACCCGACUCCACGAAGCUGGAUUCGCUAGUAAUCGCGCAUCAGCCACGGCGCGGUGAAUACGUUCCC
rnacentral:rRNA from 1 species